AUUGAACGCUGGCGGCAGGCUUAACACAUGCAAGUCGAGCGGAGAUGAGGUGCUUGCACCUUAUCUUAGCGGCGGACGGGUGAGUAAUGCUUAGGAAUCUGCCUAUUAGUGGGGGACAACAUUCCGAAAGGAAUGCUAAUACCGCAUACGCCCUACGGGGGAAAGCAGGGGAUCCUCGGACCUCGCGCUAAUAGAUGAGCCUAAGUCGGAUUAGCUAGUUGGUGGGGUAAAGGCCUACCAAGGCGACGAUCUGUAGCGGGUCUGAGAGGAUGAUCCGCCACACUGGGACUGAGACACGGCCCAGACUCCUACGGGAGGCAGCAGUGGGGAAUAUUGGACAAUGGGCGGAAGCCUGAUCCAGCCAUGCCGCGUGUGUGAGGAAGGCCUUUUGGUUGUAAAGCACUUUAAGCGAGGAGGAGGCUACCUGGAUUAAUACUCUAGGAUAGUGGACGUUACUCGCAGAAUAAGCACCGGCUAACUCUGUGCCAGCAGCCGCCGUAAUAC
rnacentral:rRNA from 1 species